CUUCGACUAGCUACAUUCGUUCAUGUCUAUUGCAGAUGCCACAUUACUGAAAAAAGUUUGUACACAUAAAAAAGAUCUGUAACCGAGUAAAGGGAGACGUAAGACACUCCUCCACGACAUGAGGGCCAAGGUACAUUUUUAUCCCGUCGAAACGUUUGAUUUGUUGGCAUCUUGUUGCUAUACUUGUUAGCUUUAAGUCACUUGGCUAGCUAGCCUGCUAACUUAACUGCGACAUAACUGCACACAUUUGAAAUGUAGCUAGCCACCUACUACAUAUUUUAAAUUAAUUGAUUAUCUAGUUCGGUGCAUAGGCUUGUAGUAAUUUCUAAUACAAUUAAAAAUGGUUGACGUUUGAAUACUUAGGGCUUCUGCAAUUAAGUGUUUUGUCAUUCUACGAUAGACUACUAGUCACAUACACAUGGUUGGCAUAUGUUAUUGGCGAGUGUAGCGAAAUGUUUGUGCUUCUAUUCCCGACAGUGCAGUAAUACCUAACAAUUCCACACCUACCUAAAUCACCCAAAUCUAAGUAAAAUAAUGGAAUAAGAAUUUAUAGAUGAGUAAUGACAGGGUGGUAUAGGCAUGAUGCAAUAGAUGGUAUAAAGUGCAUAUACAUAUGAGAUGACUAAUACAGUAAAUGUUUACAUAUCUUACAUGUGACCAAUACAAUGUGAUUUAUUAAAUUGACUAAUGAUCCAUUUAUUAGUGGCCAAUUCAAGUCUGUUGGCAGCAGCCUCUGUUAGUGAUGGCUGUUUAAGUCUGUUGGACUUGAGAGGAGCUGUUUUUCAGUCACUCUGUCCCAGCUUUGAUGCACCUGUACUGACCUCACGCAUAGUAGCUGGUGAACAGGCACUGGCUGUGUUUGUUGUCCUUGAUGAUCUUUUUGGCAAGAGGCAUCAUUACAGAUCCUAGUUAAAUUCCAGGCUGGCAGACCACUCACUCAAUCAGCUCUUAUUCUCCCCCACUUCACAGUAGAAGCCUCAAACAAGGUUCAAAAGACUGUUGACAUCUAGUGGAAGCCUUAGGAAGUGCAAUAUGACCCCACAGACACUAUAUUGGAUAGGCCAAGACUUGAAAAACUACAAACCUCAGAUUUCCCACUUCGUGUUUUUUUUUUCUCUCAGGUUUUUGCCUGCCAUAUGAGUUCUGUUAUACUCACAGACAUCAUUCAAACAAUUUUAGAAACUUCAGUGUUUUCUAUCCAAAUCUACAAAUAAUAUGCAUAUCUUAGCUUCAGGGCCUGAGUAGCACAGUUUACUCUGGGCACCUUAUUCAUCCAAGCUACUCAAUACUGCCACCCAGCCAUAAGAAGUUAAGUUCUUUCUAAGGGAGUAUGCGAGCGCACUCGUUUGUAUAGCCAAAGCCUUAACGUUAGUUAUGUUGGCCAAUGGAACUAACUAGCCAAGUAGCUAACUGCAGACAAACCAUAGAAAUAGACUCACCAAGUAAUCUAAUUCUGUAGUCAACAUGUGGACAUGUCUUGUUGCGUAUCACAUGUCCUGGCUCAUUGCUGUAGGCAACUAUUGUGCAAUUGUAGCUAGCUUGUUGACAUAUUUUCAGUCACAGUCCCUUAUUAUGUGGAGGAUGGAAAUAUCCCUUCUAGACCUGAGCAUAUGUUGGUAGAACUGUAUUGACAGCAAUUUGCUCUAAAUGCCAGAUGGGUGUUGCCAACCAAGCUUCUGAAAUUGAUCAGGGUGCAGUGAUUUGUUCUAGCAAACUUAAACAGUUUGUCAAUAUGUAUAAGUAGCUAAUGGUACAUCUAACAUCGGCCCCUCUGUUCUCUCUUCCAGUGGAGAAAGAAGCGUAUGCGCAGGCUGAAGCGCAAGAGGCGAAAGAUGAGGCAGAGGUCCAAGUAGACUGCCUCCCCCUACAACACCAUGGCUGUGACCCUUCUGGACACAACACGGGACCAAGGAUCUCAUGUGCAAAGUCUGAUCAGAGCUGUGCCAUCAUUGCCAAUGAGAGGCUGCAAAGAGACAGUUCUACUGUUGUCUUGGUCAAGAGACUCCACCACCUGCCUGGGAAAUUUGAUAUGGGGACAUUCUGGAUUCUCUACUCUUCUACCAAACCUACCCUACUCCAUUGCUUUUGUUUAUAAUUUCCAAUAAAGUUUUUGGUUUAAAGUUGUCUUUGUUGCUUCUGAAACACGGUCCAGAAUGUAAUUCCUAUCAUACUGCAAC
rnacentral:lncRNA from 1 species